GUGAGAAGAAAAAAAUAUUAUAAUAAAUUACAUCAUUUUUUAAAGCUUCGUCAGAAGAAAAAUGAUGAUGAUCUCUCUUUGAUGAUGAUUUGAGAAAGAGGGAUAAGGAAGAGUGUUUGUUCUUUUUGUAAGAGAGAAAGAAGAGAAAGAAGGGGCUGAAGACGAAAUGGGAAGGAAAAAAAAAAAUUUAAUGUUAAUAAGGAUAAAUUAGUCCUUUCACGUAAGUAUAAAAUUAAAAAUAUGAGAAGCAUCAAAGGAGGUUAAAGUUUGUAUUACCUAUAAAUUUAUAGGGUCAAUUCAUGUAGUUUACCUCCGCGUGACAUACUGGAUAUGCAAAAAAUCAUAUUUUAAUAAUUUGUCACUCCUUUCCUUUUCCUCCCUCUUUCCCUCGCUUUCUACGGUGGCGCCAAAUACAGAAGCACUUCUCCGAAGCUGGCAACAGAUGUCCAUUUAGAGCUUCUGCCAAUAUUCGAAAGUUGAUUAUGGGUUCUUCCCUUGGACUCAAGAGCAUCCGAACAGAGCCUUGAGGAUUAUUCUACAUCUUUUUUCUCUCUCACCCACGUUCUCUCACCUAUUAUCCCGGGUAUAUGGAGGGGAAUGAUUAUUAAUGCUCUUUUACAAACGAAACUAUAACGUUACAUCAUCCUUUUUCUUCUUUCUAUAUAGUUUGUAUGGAUCUUGUCUACGAAUUACUAGUUGACUCUUCGUUAUGUGAGGAGGAAUUCGAAUUAAAUUUAACUCAUGCUAUUGAUAAAGAACGCUCGGGUAAUGGAAGAGACUCAACAUCGCAUUAUCGUAGAUUCAUUCGAAGAAAUUCGCUUAAGGGGCACCAUCGUCUUUUUGAAGAUUAUUUUUUCGAAUCACCUACAUACCCACCAAAUUUAUUUCGUAGGAGAUUUUGAAUGCAACGUCAUCUUUUCUUGCACAUUCAAGUUGAAGUAGAAGCACAUGAACCAUAUUUUGUCCAAAGAAGAAAUGUUGCUGGAAGACUUGGGCAUUCCUCCCUUCAAAAAAUAAUAGUUGCGAUGAGAAUAUUAGCUUAUUGAUUGCGUAUCUAGUGAUUUUUUGGACGAAUACUUAAGGAUUGCAGAAACUACAGCCACCAAGUAUUUGAAGAAAUUCGUUAAGGUUGUGAUUGACAUAUUCUCUAACAAAUACUUAAGAUCACUAAACAAAAACGAUAUUGCUAGAUUGCUUGCUGAGGAAGUCGUGGGUUUCCUGGAAUGUUAGGAAGUAUUGAUUGCAUGCAUUGGAAAUAGAAAAAUUGUUCAAGUGCAUAGAAAUGAAUGUAUUGUGGUCACAUUCAUUAGCCAACAAUAAUUUUAGAAGUCGUAGUGUCAUAUGACCUAUGGAUAUGGAAUGCAUAUUUUGGAAUACCAGACUCUCAUAAUGAUAUUAAUGUCCUAGAACACUCAUCUGUUUUUAGGGAACUCACUGAAGGACAUGCUCUAAAGGUAUAUAUUGUUGGACAUGCUCACUGAAGGGUUUCCAGGUCAUGCUCACUGAAGGUCUGCCACUCAAUAAAUGGAAAUGUCUACUCAAUGAGAUAUUAUCUUGCUGAUGGUAUAUAUCCUUCUUGGUCGAUAUUUGUCAAAACAAUUCAUGCUCCACAGGGUCAUAAAAAGAAACAUUUUGCAACAACUCAAGAAUCAGCAAGAAAACAUGUAGAAUGAGCUUUUGGAAUGCUUAAAGCUUGAUUUGCUAUUGCACGCGGACCAGCACGAUUUUAUGAUCCACAAAUGCUAAAGGAGAUUAUGAUGGCUACAUAAUUUUGCAUAAUAUGAUCGUAGAAGAUGAGUGACAUACUUAUCUUCGAGUAGAAGACUUUGUUUAUGAACAAAGUGAUAAAAUUCCCCAAAAGCUUGUGUCCCAUGAGCAUACAAAAGCUUCAUUCAACGUCAUCAUCAGAUUCGAGAUUAAGCACUUUGUGUUGAACUCCAAUCAGAACUUAUUGAACAUUUAUGGGAAAUACAUAAUCAAUCUUAAGUACUUUUAUUUUA